CCCACCACAAGCACAGGAGCUGACUUUGCGCAUGCGCAGAACCGCCGGGGGCCGCGGCCGCCCCGCUGAGAGGAGGGCGGGCGGCGGCAGUGAGGCUGGAGCACAGCGAACUCCUUUUUCCAGUCACUCAGCGAGUGGGACUGUGGCCAUGGCUGCGGGCGGCAUCUGGACGUCGCUGGGGCUGAUGGUGGCCGUCGUGGCGGCCGUGGGGCUGUGCCGGAGUUUGGCUCUUCGCCGCCUGUACAAACACCCAGAUCUUUGCUCGUUGCUCCUGGAGCUGCUGAGCACCUUCCAGGUGUGCGCCUGCACCAACGAGCUCAGCCUGCUGGGCAACACGGAGCCCAGGCCUCACACCGCCCUCACCCUCACCUACGGCUUCACCGUCCUGCACGGCUUGACGCUGCCCGGCAGCACGUGCAACCCUUGUGGCACCCUGCAGCCCCUGUGGGGCGGACGGACCUCAGUCAGGGCGAAGGGACUGAAGAUCGGAGCGCAGUUCGUCGCUGCUGUGUUGGCCAGGGUCUUUAUGCACUUAAUCUGGAGGCUGGAGAUGGCGGAAUCCCAUUCGGGAGUGCUCACUCAGGGUUGUGGCAACCCCAUGCAGACGACAGAGGUGCAGGCGUUCUGCAUAGAGCUGCUGUUCUCUGUCGUUUUCCAGCUGACCAUCCUGCAAGUGGAAAACAUUAAGCCCAGCUACAGAGUCCACGCGGUUGCUCUCCUCAUCACCAUGCUGGUUUUUGCAGGUGGAAAUCUUACAGGAGCAAUAUUUAACCCAGCGUUGGCUUUUUCAUUACAUCCACAUUGUUUCUAUGACAGAUUUCUUACUUAUUCACUGGUAUAUUGGAUAGCCCCAUGCUUAGGUAACACAAACGACACGAUUUGGAGAAGUGGGAUAUUGCUACCUCCUUCUGUUCAAAUUGAGGCCCUGGAACGUGUUCAAAGGAGGGCAACAAAGCUGGUACAGUACUUGUGGCUUUUGUAUGGAAAUCCUUUCUUGGACACCAGAAGACAUUAAAAUCUGAAUUAUAGUAGAACUGCAUUGAAGUAUUUUCAAACAAGUUAACUUGCAGCCACCUCCAAAUGAAAUGAGGCUUUCAGAAAAAGCAUUGACAUCGACUUCCACACCUCCUUUCAAUUGUAUUCAGAUUUCAUGUAUUGAAAUUUCACUUACAGCUUUGUGUUCCUUUGUAACACUAGAUCAGAGAAUACCUACCAGCAUUUCUGUUAAGCCAUAUGAAUGCAAAAGACUGUUAGAACACUGAAACUUUGUCACUUUAGCCAUAAGUGCCAUUUGCUGACCUGAAUUACAGUGGCAUAUAAAACUUUAGAUAAAUUCCAGACCUUUUGGGGUUUGAUUUUAUUGGAUUUCUUCGUGUAGACAGCAGCUGCAGAAACAAAACUGAAGAUUUCCCUCUGUAGCGACCUCAGCAAUCCCUUUCAAGCCACAUACAAACCUCCAAGAGGAAAACAGGUUGAUUUGUUUUCUGAUCCCUGGAAGAACUGACACAGCUCUAUUCUAGAGGUGACCCACAGCAAAAGUACAAACCUGUAGGACCAGCAGUGUUUUAAUAGAGAAGUGCAGACAACUUAUCUGGACUGUGCAGUCCGAAGUGAUGAACUGCUCACUGCCAGAAGUUCAAGGUAUUCCUUCAGUGCUGGAACGCACUACAAAGUAUUAAAGUCUGCAGAAUGUUUGUUCCUCCACAUUAAAAGCAGGAAUAUCUGCAGAAGAAUCAUACAAUGGCUUGGACUGGAAGGGACCUCAAGGAUUAAGCUCCAACCCCUCUGCCACAGGAAGGACCCCAAGUCUCCACAUUUAAUACUAGACCAGGCUGGCCAGGGCCCCAUCCAACCUGGCCUUGAACACCUCCAGGGAUGGACGGGGCAUCCACAACAGAAUCACAGAAUCGUAGGGGUUGGAAGGGACCUCCAGAGAUCAUCGAGUCCAACCCCCCUGCCAAAGCAGGUUCCCUACAGCAGGUCACACAAGUAGGUGCCCAGGUGGGUCUUGAAUAUCUCCAGAGAAGGAGACUCCACAGCCUCUCUGGGCAGCUGUUCCAGCAUCUCACCACUCCUAGUAAAGAGCUUCCCCCUGACAUCCAACCUAAAUCUUCCCUCCUUCAACUUAAAAGCAUUUCCCAUCAUCCUGAGCACGUUUAUAAACAGCAAUGUGCCAACACCCACAUUAUACCAGUCCACACGCAGGCUGUGCAAUGUAGAAAUGUAAGAAUAUCCAUAAUUCCAAGUAUUAGCUUAUAGAUUUUCUGCAUGUUCACUGUGCUCUGAAUUUCAAAACUGACCAUGGAGUUUCACGAAGAAAGUUUUGUUGCCUAACAUGCUGAAUACUUGUUAGUCAACAACAGAGCUCACUUUUUACCAAUCUCAAAUUGAAGUAAUCAGCAAAUAUUCAUCAGAGUGGUUCUCAUUUUCACAUAGCUUGAAACCAAACCCAACAUACCAGGCAGGACAGCACCGCUCUGUGACACUCCGAGAGCACAGGACAGGGAAGGAAAACUCUUCAUUUACCAACUUCAUUAUGUUGAAAACAAAUUUUCAAGUCACUCAGCUUCAAAUCAAAAUGGACAACAUUUAGUAUCAAACUUCCAGGGGAAAAAAACAAAACAAAACAAUAAAUUUGCUGCCGUUGCCCCAGCACGAAAACAGCACCAAGCAGAGAGAAGAGAAACGGGAGAAGCAGAACAAACCUCUCAGCACUGUACAGACAUUUGGCCCUGAUAUUCUCACAUGUGGGUAAACA